AACGAACGCUGGCGGCAGGCUUAACACAUGCAAGUCGAACGCAUCGCAAGAUGAGUGGCAGACGGGUGAGUAACGCGUGGGAACAUACCCUUUUCUACGGAAUAGCUCUGGGAAACUGGAAUUAAUACCGUAUACGCCCUACGGGGGAAAGAUUUAUCGGGGAAGGAUUGGCCCGCGUUGGAUUAGCUAGUUGGUGGGGUAAAGGCCUACCAAGGCGACGAUCCAUAGCUGGUCUGAGAGGAUGAUCAGCCACAUUGGGACUGAGACACGGCCCAAACUCCUACGGGAGGCAGCAGUGGGGAGUAUUGGACAAUGGGCGCAAGCCUGAUCCAGCCAUGCCGCGUGAGUGAUGAAGGCCUUAGGGUUGUAAAGCUCUUUCACCGAUGAAGAUAAUGACGGUAGUCGGAGAAGAAACCCCGGCUAACUUCGUGCCAGCCGCCGCCGUAAAAC
rnacentral:rRNA from 1 species